rnacentral:rRNA from 1 species
UACGUAGGGACCAAGCGUUGUUCGGAUUUACUGGGCGUAAAGCGCACGUAGGCGGAUCGAUCAGUCAGGGGUGAAAUCCCAGAGCUCAACUCUGGAACUGCCUUUGAUACUGUCGAUCUGGAGUAUGGAAGAGGUGAGUGGAAUUCCGAGUGUAGAGGUGAAAUUCGUAGAUAUUCGGAGGAACACCAGUGGCGAAGGCGGCUCACUGGUCCAUUACUGACGCUGAGGUGCGAAAGCGUGGGGAGCAAACAGG